CGCACGCACACACACACACACACACACACAGAGGGAGACAGACACACACACACACACACACAGAGAGAGAGAGAGAGAGAGAGGGAAGGAAAGAGACAUAGAGGCACACGCACACACAAAACCGGUGAAUAUUUUUUGCUGCUAUUUGUUUUGUUUCUCUAAAUAGUGGCCGCCAUGAGCAGCAGCAACUGGGAAAGAGCAAAUCCGACAGGCCCCUCUUAAGAAAGGAUUUAUACGUAAGAAGUCCUCUUCCAAGAUUAAAGCGAUUCUUAGGAGCAGCCGCUACUCUUCUGGGGCUGGUUCGCCCGGCUCUGCGCAGAAAGCUUGCCCGAAAGAAGCCCUCGCCUCGCCUCGCCUUGCCGGUGGAAAUCCAGACAGUUGGACGUCGCUUUCGAGCCCAACCGUUUUGGGCCUCUAAGCCAAGCUAGUCCUGCUGCAGGAGCCUUAAACCGCCGCCUGCGGCACAAAAGGGGCUACCGCAGACCAGGCGCGCCGUGCCGGAUUCGGCCACCCGAAUCCACCUGAAUUGCGCAGGGAGAUCCGAACCGCGUUCCAAAACGGCCGAGUCGCCAAGCAGCGGUUUCGGAUGUCUCUGAGCCUGACGGCUCCGCUGUGCAGAACCAAAGCGCCCAGGGCGCAGCGACCCCAUCGUGCCACCGAGUCGCGGAUACCUACGGAGACAUGGAAAGGCUCCCUUGGCUCCGUGCAAGCCGUCUCUAAACGCCCGCAGGCUUUCCGGAGGAUGUGCGUGCCCCAGGCCUCCAAGCUGCCCCGGGCUGACUUUGAGGCUGAGCGCUUUCCAUGCCGAUCUAUGCGGAAAAGCGGCGGGUCUUCCGUUUAAAGAGAGAGGAGAGGGAAAGGAGAGGCGGAGGGGAGCAUUUUUCACGGAGUUCUUGGGGACUUUGGAUCGCGUUUCUCCGCAGACUUAGCCCCACAACACCUCCCCAGACCAAAAUACCUGAAAGUCCGAAGCUAUAUUUGACCCCACCGUCGGUCUAAGUAUUCCCUGAUGAUAUGUGUGUAAUGCGAUGUUUUGUUCUUUCUUCCCUUUCAGGAAUUCGCAAAAAGAAGCUGUGUGUAUUUUAAUUUAUUCCACCGACUGUCCUCUCCGAACAAUCCUUCCUUCCUUCCUUCCUUCCUUCCUUCCUUCGAAAUUAAGCAGGUGUUUGAGAAUAGGGAGGGGGAAAAGUUCGGGUUUCAGGAGACAAUUGGUUGACUUUGGUCUGUCUCCCCACUUUCCCACAGAUGGUUUCCUCUCUAAUCAGUGGCACCCAAAAGCUCCCCAGAAAUCUCAAAUUGAGAACUGAGUCAAAUGAAGCCGCGGGGGGAAAAAAAGCCGCUAAUGUCGGCUGGAGCUUGCUUUAUAGGUGUUCACCCCACCCCACCCCACCCCACCCUACCUUUUGUUUUGUUUUGUUUCGUUUCGUUUUGUUGGCGAGAGAGAGAGAAAGAGAGAAAAUUAUCCAUCCCUGGGAAAUGGAACGGUGAUAGUCAGAAGGUCCCUCUUUUUUCCUUUUAAAACUUUAUAGCAUGCUAAAAUGGGGGAACUGGGAGGCUGGAGAACAGCUCUCCUGUGAAAAUAAACUAAGCAGGGAGAGAGGCGACAGGCUGAAUUGAUCAAACGAAGGGCCAUGAAAAAAAGAAAACAGCCGCUCCAAAUUUUAUCCCAGGUUCAGUCCUGGUUUUGGAGCAGAGAGGAAACCCGGUUCUAACUCUCCCCACCCCUUAAAAAACACGAAGCAUUUAACAAUUAUCCCUUAAUCGGCUGGCAGGUUGGCCACAAAUGAUGCCAUUAAACAUCAAAGACAUGCUUGGGACUUUAUCUUUUAGCCAUAAGAGGAUUAAUUUCUGUAAUUAGAGUGGGGAAAAUAUGUACAUAAAUAAGUAUCGCUCUCCCCAUCUUUUCCUCUUGAUCUUACGGAUUAUUAUCGGCGGGUGAUGGGGGCGAUUCUUCCAAGUUUCGUCUCUUUAUUUGAUAAAACGAGGAAAGAGGACUUGGGGACGCCGAGUCUCGCGUCCCCCCCCUCCCCUCCCCUCCCGCCUAGGAGCCCGUCCGGAGAACCGGACCUUUUUCCCGAGCAUCCAGCAGCGGUGCGGACAGAUUGCCAGAAUAAGGCUGCUUUCUUCCCGAGGACCGGAGGGAGAGGUUAAUUUGGGAGGGUCAGCUGUGUUUGCCUUUGUUGCUCUUGUCUCCCACCCCCCUAUCCCCAGGCUCGAGGCAGAGCUUCAUCCUCCGCCUUCCCGUAAAACCCGCCUGACCUUCCUUCUAACCUGUAUGAAUACCUCGUUUACCUAAUGACUUUGUGUCAGGCAGGCAGCAGGUCACUUUCCUUUUUAACCUUUCCCAUUGCUGCAGUAAGCAUUCUGGGCGAUAAUGAAUGGCUCUUGGAAUAAUCGAUGCCCAUUUUAUGAGCCCUGACAAACUCAAGAGAUGGACACCUUGUUUCAGGAACGUGGCCUCACCUUCACCAAGUGGCUUCUUCACCCACCCACCCCUAAGAAGAAACGUUUCUCCCAGCUAGCAGCUCAACCGGUCCCUAAACUUCCCUCUGCAUUGGUGUCCUCAGGUAGGGUGAGAAAAAAAAAGAGUCAGGAUGAUACCACGAUGGUGCCAUGCACACCAAAAUCACCAGGAGUUUCGAUAUCGUUGUGUUGUGGACACCAUCUUGACUUUUUGACUCUUCCCUACAGACAGUCCUGUGAUAGUAAACUUUCCUUGAGUUCAGGCUGACCAACCGGCAGGUGAUUUCAUGUGCUCAUUGUUUGCUUGAUGCAAUCAGAAGUUAGCUUGCCAUUUCUUUUCUUCAGGGUGCUUUUCCCAACUUACAACCCUGGCAUUUCCUCUUGGUCUCCCAUCCAAAUAUUAACCAGAUGUAACCGUGCUUAGUGCGGCUAAGGAAUUUUGGGGCCAAGGAUCAACCAAGUGGCCUGUUUUGUUGGUUCAAAAUGAACAAAUGAAUCAAGCUAAAUAAGUCCAGGAUGCAGAAGGAUUUGAAAGUAAAGGAUUGGGUGACAGAGACAUGUAACACUAUUAAAUACUGUUAAGUAAUAAAUUGAUAUUAAUUGAUAUUGGUGAUUAUGAGUAUCAGUAUUAAUUGAGGCAUUUUCCCCAGACAGAAAUUCCUCAAAAAGGAUUUCACCAAAUUCCUACUUCUUGCCUGCCUCCUUUUCUUUUUGAAAAAUAUCAGUAAUCCAUUUGAGCCAGCUGUCCCACUCCAUCUUUCCAAACACACUCCAUCCCUUUCCUUAGUUACACAGCAAUUAAAAUACAAAUCACCACACUCCUCCAUCCAUCCUUCCCGGAAAGCAAGGGUGGUAUCCUCCAUCAUCAUUCCAAGGGCUUCUGAUCGCAAGAUUGGGUUGUCAAAUAAACAGGAUCUGGGGCAGGAAGAGAUGCUGGGGGUUGUGAUGACACUGGAAGGGGAAAACAAUUUUUACAUAGCCUGUCUCUUUCUUAAAAAGAAGCUCUGGUAAGUUCUUCAUCUUGACCAUUUAGCUUUCAUUUGGUCUGUUAACUCACUUCCAGCUCAGGUGGAAAAAAGAAACUUAAACCUAUAACUAUGGCAAACAGAAAGGGGAGGGGUUUCUCCCGCUUCCCCCCGCCCCCCACCACAUCCACACUUGCAGACGAAACAAGCCAACAGCUCUGGUGAAUGUCUGGAGCUCUUCAGACUUGCUGUUAUUUGCUGGUGUUAGUCAGAACGGAGAAUAGUUGCAAGCCUGUUACCCCUAUAGAAUAAAUAAUACAGAUUCAAACUUUAAUUUAAAAAAAAAAAUACACCUAUAACCAUAUGUUUUAUUUUAUUUCACAGUUACAUUCAUCGUUGCUUUCUUUUCUUUUUAAGAUGCUUAUGCCCUAAAGUUUCGACCUGAUAUUUUCUUGGCACUGAUCCUCACAGAAAAGCGGAUACUAGAGGUGGGGUUGAGAAGAUUACAAGAUCUUGUGAUAAUUUUACAAAAGUAUUCCUAGGAAAGUUUAGACCAAGUUUAGACUAAGUUUAAAUCAAAUGUAGGGAACUGCUAAAGGCAGGAAUGAUAUGUAUCCUUGAAUCAAUUCACAGGCUAAUUGAAAUCUCUUUCUCUCCCUCUCCCUCCCUCUCUCCCUUUCCCUCCCUUCCUCUCUCUCUCUCCCCCUCUCCCUCAUCCUCUCCCCCUCCAUCUCCCCCUCUCCUCUCCCUCUCCCUCUCCCACCUUUAUGGGCUACAUUACCAUCAGGAACCAGGAUGCAGAUUUGAUAAAGGAUCAGAAAAAGACAAAAAAAUAAUUUGUUAUGGUUUCAGCAGAAAGACAGAAUGACUUACUUACACCAUUGUCUGCAUCAGGUACCAAAAUAAUUUCACUGAAUUUGGAAAUUUUGCUCCUGGACUUGAGGGAGGCCUUUGCUUCCACUUAUAUUUCUUUAUUAGUGGCUCAGAAUGUGGGAAUUAUUUACAAUUAAUGAGAAUUAGUUGAAUGGAACUUGCACAUGAUCAAACUGUUCGCUGUUGUCACAGCAAACCUAUUCAAUCCCAUAACAUAAGUGUUUGAAGAACCUGAAAACAGGCAGUCUUUUGUCCUAUAUGUCCCAUGUUUCACUUUUAUCUGGAAUAUCAACCAAGACAAAUUCUUCUGAGAAGCACCAAAAGAAAUGUGAUAUACACAUGGAGUUUGAGCUUCCUUAAUGGCAUCCUGCAGAAUGCCAUUCUUAGAUCAGUAGUAUGUCUAGCUAAAAAUUAUCCAGAGAAGUGGGCUGAGAGAAGACCUGAUUAUAACUCAGUUUCUCUCAUAUGGUAAGAAGAUAUUCAAAUAUAUCAGACCUUUAGAAACUUGAGCAACUAAGCCAUUAUACAUUUAACAUUGCCUGAUAUUAAAUAAAAUAAAAUAAAUGUAGUAAAAUAAACUUAUCUAUGUUUGAAUGUUAAUGA